rnacentral:rRNA from 1 species
GACGUAGGGCGCGAGCGUUGUCCGGAUUUAUUGGGCGUAAAGAGCUCGUAGGCGGCUUGUCGCGUCGUCCGUGAAAACCUGCGGCUCAACUGCAGGCCGGCGGUCGAUACGGGCAGGCUGGAGUACUGCAGGGGAGACUGGAAUUCCUGGUGUAGCGGUGGAAUGCGCAGAUAUCAGGAGGAACACCGGUGGCGAAGGCGGGUCUCUGGGCAGUAACUGACGCUGAGGAGCGAAAGCGUGGGGAGCGAACAGG